AUUAACGCUGGCGGCGUGCCUAAUACCUGCAAGUCGCGCGAACGGACGAGAAGCUUGCUUCUCUGAUGUUAGCGGCGGACGGGUGAGUAACACGUGGAUAACCUACCUAUAAGACUGGGAUAACUUCGGGAAACCGGAGCUAAUACCGGAUAAUAUUUUGAACCGCAUGGUUCAAAAGUGAAAGACGGUCUUGCUGUCACUUAUAGAUGGAUCCGCGCUGCAUUAGCUAGUUGGUAAGGUAACGGCUUACCAAGGCAACGAUGCAUAGCCGACCUGAGAGGGUGAUCGGCCACACUGGAACUGAGACACGGUCCAGACUCCUACGGGAGGCAGCAGUAGGGAAUCUUCCGCAAUGGGCGAAAGCCUGACGGAGCAACGCCGCGUGAGUGAUGAGGGUCUUCGGAUCGUAAAACUCUGUUAUUAGGGAAGAACAUAUGUGUAAGUAACUGUGCACAUCUUGACGGUACCUAAUCAGAACGCCACGGCUAACUACGUG
rnacentral:rRNA from 1 species